rnacentral:rRNA from 1 species
UUAAGUGACUAAGCGUACACGGUGGAUGCCUUGGCAGUCAGAGGCGAUGAAGGACGUAUUAACUUGCGAUAAGCCCAGAUUAGGCAGUAAAAGCCACUUGAGUCUGGGAUUUCCGAAUGGGGAAACCCACUUACAUAAGUAAGUAUCCUGUUGUGAAUACAUAGCAACAGGAGGCGAACCGGGGGAACUGAAACAUCUAAGUACCCCGAGGAAAAGAAAUCAACCGAGAUUCCGAAAGUAGCGGCGAGCGAAAUUGGACUAGCCCUUAAGCUUUACACACGUUAGACGAACGGUCUGGAAAGGCCGACGAUACAGGGUGAUAGUCCCGUAGUUGACGAUGUGUGUUCAGUGAAAUCGAGUAGGGCGGGACACGUGAUAUCCUGUCUGAAUAUGGGGGGACCAUCCUCCAAGGCUAAAUACUACUGACUGACCGAUAGUGAACCAGUACCGUGAGGGAAAGGCGAAAAGAACCCCUGUGAGGGGAGUGAAAUAGAACCUGAAACCGUGUACGUACAAGCAGUAGGAGCAGGCUUUGUCCUGUGACUGCGUACCUUUUGUAUAAUGGGUCAGCGACUUAUAUUCAGUGGCAAGGUUAACCAUCUAGGGGAGCCGUAGGGAAACCGAGUCUUAACUGGGCGUUCAGUCUCUGGAUAUAGACCCGAAACCAGGUGAUCUAGCCAUGGGCAGGUUGAAGGUUGAGUAACAUCAACUGGAGGACCGAACCGACUAAUGUUGAAAAAUUAGCGGAUGACUUGUGGCUAGGGGUGAAAGGCCAAUCAAACCUGGAGAUAGCUGGUUCUCCCCGAAAGCUAUUUAGGUAGCGCCUCGGACGAAUACUACUGGGGGUAGAGCACUGUUAAGGCUAGGGGGUCAUCCCGACUUACCAACCCUUUGCAAACUCCGAAUACCAGUAAGUACUAUCCGGGAGACACACGGCGGGUGCUAACGUCCGUCGUGGAGAGGGAAACAACCCAGACCGCCAGCUAAGGUCCCAAAUUACUACUAAGUGGGAAACGAUGUGGGAAGGCUCAGACAGCCAGGAUGUUGGCUUAGAAGCAGCCAUCAUUUAAAGAAAGCGUAAUAGCUCACUGGUCGAGUCGGCCUGCGCGGAAGAUGUAACGGGGCUAAGUAGUAAACCGAAGCUGCGGCAAUAUACUUUUGUAUAUUGGGUAGGGGAGCGUUCUGUAAGCGGUUGAAGGUGUGUGGUAACGCAUGCUGGACGUAUCAGAAGUGCGAAUGCUGACAUGAGUAACGAUAAAGGGGGUGAAAAACCUCCUCGCCGGAAGACCAAGGGUUCCUGUCCAACGUUAAUCGGGGCAGGGUAAGUCGACCCCUAAGGCGAGGCCGAAAGGCGUAGUCGAUGGGAAACGGGUUAAUAUUCCCGUACUUCUUACAAUUGCGAUGGGGGGACGGAGAAGGCUAGGUGGGCCUGGCGACGGUUGUCCAGGUUCAAGUGCGUAGGCUUGAGAGUUAGGUAAAUCCGGCUCUCUUUAAGGCUGAGACACGACGUCGAGCUACUACGGUAGUGAAGUCAUUGAUGCCAUGCUUCCAGGAAAAGCCUCUAAGCUUCAGAUUGUAAGGAAUCGUACCCCAAACCGACACAGGUGGUCGGGUAGAGAAUACCAAGGCGCUUGAGAGAACUCGGGUGAAGGAACUAGGCAAAAUGGUACCGUAACUUCGGGAGAAGGUACGCUCUCGACGGUGAAGUCCCUCGCGGAUGGAGCUAUUGAGAGUCGCAGAUACCAGGUGGCUGCAACUGUUUAUUAAAAACACAGCACUGUGCAAAAUCGUAAGAUGACGUAUACGGUGUGACGCCUGCCCGGUGCCGGAAGGUUAAUUGAUGGGGUUAGACUUCGGUCGAAGCUCUUGAUCGAAGCCCCGGUAAACGGCGGCCGUAACUAUAACGGUCCUAAGGUAGCGAAAUUCCUUGUCGGGUAAGUUCCGACCUGCACGAAUGGCGUAAGUAUAAUGUUGAGACAGUGCGAGUUCCAAUGCUUUUUCUGACAGUUUUUGGGCCGGAGAGGCGAAGAGUUUGGGAUGCAUGCUCGAUAUCGCUAACAAUGAUUUUUGCAAGCGAAUUUGAACUUGGAGUUGGGCUGCGCCAUCAUGUGCUAUCGGCAAAAAGACAUCAUCAAACAAAUCUUGGCAGCUUAAUGAAGGCACAAACAAUCGAGGAAAAACGCGUUUUUAUGGGUCUUUGCUUUAGUAACUCCCCCCAAAGUGAUAAUGCCCUUAUAGCGCGCCCGAGUACAUCAAUGGCGGUGCCGUUGUCAUUGACUGCAGGGAGAGCGCUCUUGAAGCUAUUUCCGCCAAAACGACCAAGCCAAAACGAGGGUCUUGGUCGAAGGAACGCUCUGUUCGAAUGGUGAAAGCUGCGCUAACUUCGCUUUCUUCUUUUAGCUCUCCACAUAACCAAGCGAUGGGUUGCCCUAAAUAAACAAAGUUACCCCGGCUGACGUUCUAUGUAAAUAGUGCAUUGGUUCUCUUCGGCAAUGCUGUCAAGAUGGUGCAUAUCAAUAUGCUGUAAGUAACCUAUUUCUUGGCUGUAAAUAGGUUUGCUUCCCCUAGGUUUAUGUUCAGGGUGACUCCAGGGGCGAGCCCCAAGCCAAGGCUCAUUUCCACGCUUGCGAAUCGCACUUAUCAGAGCUUGUUCGACUUUUGACGUUGUUUC